rnacentral:lncRNA from 10 species
GCGUAAUGCAACGUUCUAGGAAAGAGAGUAUUUCUUCUGGGUGUGGCCAACCCGGAUUUGUAGUUCCCAGGCCGGUGUUCCCGUAUGGUCUCACUCUGUCAUGCAUGAUGGACUGCAGUGGUGCAAUCAUGGCUCACUGUAGCUUCGACCACCCUGGCUCCGGUCAUCAUCCUACCUCAGCCUCCCAGGUAUGUGGGAUUACAGUGGUGUCAGUCAUCAACCUUGUGAUCACUGAGGAAAAGAUACAAUAAUCCUUGCCUAUCCGAACUGGGAUCCUAAAAAUUAUGGAACGAAUUGUAGAAACUCAAGCAACUUUCUCCAAAGCCUAGGGUUCAGCAAGAGUAAGCAAGAGGCACUGAGCCGCUGGAGUCUGCACAUUGAUAAAUUUACUUACAGUCGUAAAUAAAUUGCAUCAUCUUCAGCUAGUAACACAGAGUCUAAUUUUUAUAGCGGCAUACUUGCCUCCACGACUUUCCUAGACACCAGAAAGAAAGGCGAGAGCCAGCCUUAGCCUAAUCAAGAACCAUGAUCCAAAAAGGAGUGGGAGGAACCUAGCGGCCACGUGGGAAUCCCAGCCCUCCUAUUAAGCCUACCCUCUUUGCAAAUUGUGACUGUGAGCUCCUGGUUUACAGAAAUAUAUCCCAGAACUCAAGCAACAUGAGCCACUAUAAUUGUCUCUGGAAGGUGACCCAUUUGCAGAUAGGGACUUCCCUGAAGGUUGGGGCCCUCAUGAGCUAUGCUUUCCACCAAGUUGUCUCUAUAAGGACCAGUUCCAGGACCUCAGGGAGGAAAUUUCACUUUCUGCCUUGGUGGAAUGUGAAGUGAGUGGCUCCCCGGCCACACCCCACCCUCCAUAAAAUAGAAGGUAAAUCCCAACUGCCAAAAGCUUUUUGUCCUCCUCUCAGGGAUACUAAUUAAAGCAGUUGGGCUACUUUUUCAUGCAUUUCAUCUCAAGUUGUCUUUCUGCCUAUCUCCUGAGCCCAGCGAAAGAGUUCCUUAAAAUAACCCUCAAACCUCUGUAGUAAAGGACCACACAAAUAACGAAUGCCAUGAAAAAACAGGGCUAGAGGUUUCAGAGGAUGAGAAAGGAAGAGCAGCCAGAACACUGGCUGUCUAGGUAUGCUACUGGUGCCUGACUCUGCACCUGUGUGUGUCUGUGUGCUGUGUUCCAAUGGCAGAGCAUCGGGGCCACCAGAACUCUCUCAGCUACCGCACAUGGAGAGGGAGGAGUGAUAAAGAGAAAUCAAGAAACUCAGUUUCUUUGAAAUGGAAAUCAAUAAACUCAGUUUCCUCAAAGUUCAAAAUACAUGAGACUGCCUACCCUCCUUGGAAGGCAAGGU